CGGGGCUUCCCCAUGCCACCAAACUCUAGGUUGCAGACACAAGCUCUUUAUAUUUUGUCUGAUUAUUUCUAUCCUCUCUGAUUGUCAACUGUUCCAGAUCAUCAUCUUAUUUAUUCCCUCUGAAGAAAUUCUUGUUGUGGUAUUUGUUCAACCACUACUGUUUAUUUGUAUACCACUUUUACCUCAUCUGCAAGCAAAAUUCAAAUUUCUCUGCCAUAGAUGGAUGACAUCAUUGUGGAUAAUAACAAUAACACUCCUGGAUAUCAUCCUAUUGAUUUAUGUUCUUCUAGCCACUUUGGCAAGAGAGAGAGGUAUAUGUUGUCUUUACUUUUAGUCAUUUUCAUG